rnacentral:rRNA from 1 species
CUUUACUGUAGCCUGGUAUUGGGUUCGGGCUUUGACUGCGCAGGAUAGGUGGGAGACUAUGAUCCAUUCCUUGUGGGGGAUGGGGAGUCAACGGUGAGAUACCACUCUGUCAGAGCUAGAAUUCUAACCUUGAUCCAUGAUCUGGAGAAGGAACAGUAUCAGGUGGGCAGUUUGACUGGGGCGGUCGCCUCCUAAAAGGUAACGGAGGCGCACAAAGGUUUCCUCAGACUGGUUGGAAAUCAGUCGAAGAGUGUAAAGGCAUAAGGAAGCUUGAUUGCGAGAGUGACAACUCAAGCAAGGUGGAAACACGGUCUUAGUGAUCCGACGGCACUGCGUGGAAGGGCCGUCGCUCAACGGAUAAAAGUUA